AUAAAAGAGUCCAGGCAAAAAAAUGGGCAUCCCGGCGAACCAAAAAACAGAAAGAAAAGGUUCGGGCAAAAAUUAGGGAUAAAAAAAUAAAAAAAUUUGUACACCCGGUAAGUCGAAAACCCGCAAGGGCGACUUAGGCAAAAAUGGGUAUCCCGGUGGAUUGAAAACCCGAAAGGGCGAUCCAGGCAAAAGUUAGGGAUUAAAGCGAAGACUACAGUCUGAGUUGCCUGUACUUCAUCAAGCUUUGUCGUCUGCCAUCUCGAAAGAUGUGAUCCGUCCAGUCAUUCUUCUCGG
rnacentral:lncRNA from 1 species